GACGAACGCUGGCGGCGUGCUUAACACAUGCAAGUCGAACGGAAAGGCCCUGCUUUUGUGGGGUGCUCGAGUGGCGAACGGGUGAGUAACACGUGAGUAACCUGCCCUUGACUUUGGGAUAACUUCAGGAAACUGGGGCUAAUACCGGAUAGGAGCUCCUGCUGCAUGGUGGGGGUUGGAAAGUUUCGGCGGUUGGGGAUGGACUCGCGGCUUAUCAGCUUGUUGGUGGGGUAGUGGCUUACCAAGGCUUUGACGGGUAGCCGGCCUGAGAGGGUGACCGGCCAAAUUGGGACUGAGAUACGGCCCAGACUCCUCCGGGAGGCAGCAGUGGGGAAUAUUGCAAAAUGGGCGGAAGCCUGAUGCAGCAACGCCGCGUGCGGGAUGACGGCCUUCGGGUUGUAAACCGCUUUCGCCUGUGACGAAGCGUGAGUGACGGUAAUGGGUAAAGAAGCACCGGCUAACUACGUG
rnacentral:rRNA from 1 species